CCUACGGGAGGCUGCAGUGAGGAAUAUUGGUCAAUGGACGAGAGUCCGAACCAGCCAAGUAGCGUGAAGGAUGACUGCCCUAUGGGUUGUAAACUUCUUUUAUAAAGGAAUAAAACGAGGCACGUGUGCCUUUUUGCAUGUACUUUAUUAAUAAGGAUCGGCUAACUCCGUGCCAGCAGCCGCGGUAAUACGGAGGAUCCGAGCGUUAUCCGGAUUGAUUGGGUUUAAAGGGAGCGUAGAUGGGUUGUUAAGUCAGUUGUGAAAGUUUGCGGCUCAACCGUAAAAUUGCAAUUGAUACUGGCAGUCUUGAGUACAGUUGAGGUAAGCGGAAUUCGUGGUGUAGCGGUGAAAUGCUUAGAUAUCACGAAGAACCCCGAUUGCGAAGGCAGCUUACUAAACUGUGACUGACAUUGAUGCUCGAAAGUGUGGGUAUCAAACAGGAUUAGAUACCCCGGUAGUC
rnacentral:rRNA from 1 species